rnacentral:tRNA from 1 species
GGGCAGAUGGUGUAAUGGUCAACAUUACCACAUUCGACGCAUUGAGCUCUAAUUGUGGAGAUGAAGGUUCGAAUCCUUCUCUGCGCA